CGAAAGAAAGAAAAAAGAAGAAGAAAACAAGAAAGAAAAAGAAGAAGAAAACAAGAAAAGAAAAGAGAAGAAGAAAACGGAAGGUCAAGUGGCCUUCAAUAAAAUGAGACGCACUGCGUCUUGUUGAGGAGUGCGUAUGUUUUUCUUCCUUUGGAGGGAGAGCUUCUCCUUCUCAGUUUUUUUUUCCUCUUUUGAUUUUUCGUACAAAAAUCAUGAUCUAUGAAGAUCUAACCGUUCAAUUUCAAAUCCGACUUCAGUAACGUGAUCUACGAAACCCGAUCUACGUUUCUACCGAUUGGUUAAAGGUGAUGAACUGAGAGACUGUACAAAAAGACCCCCAUGAUGCAGGUACGAAAGAGUAUAAAGCUCAAGGAUUGGAUUUUGUUAGCAUUGAAGAAUUAGAACUGUUUAUUAAUAUAGUUAAUGAUUGUAGUAAUUUCUUUGUAUCAACUUGGAAUGUAAUACUUUAAUUACAUUUGUCACUCAGUAAACUCUGAUGUAUUUUUUUAAAGUAAAUAAAUUUAUAUUCCGCUGC